ACCACCGAAGUCAAGCAUCAUUGGGCGCGGUCAGUACUUGGGUGGGUGACCAUCUGGGAACACCGCGUGCCGUU